GCUGAAACAACCAGGAGGUUGGCUUAGAAGCAGCCUCCCUUUAAAAAGUGCGUAACAGCUUACUGGUCUAGUGACUUCGCGCGGAAAACUUAACGGGGCUAAGCAUAGUACCGAAGCCAUGGGUCUCAACAUUUGUUGGGGCAGUAGGGGAGCGUUCUGUCAGCGGUGAAGGUCGAUCGUAAGGGCGACUGGAGCGGACAGAAGUGAGAAUGCAGGCAUGAGUAGCGUACAAAUAUGUGAGAACCAUAUUCGCCGUAUAUCUAAGGUUUCCGACGCCAGGUCAUUCCGCGUCGGGUUAGUCGAGUCCUUAGCCGAGGCCGAGAGGCGUAGGUGAUGGACAUCUGGUCAACAUUCCAGAACCGCUAGAGAGUGCGAUGGGAGGACGCAACGAGGUAGGCCAGCCCAUUAUUGGAUUUGGGUGCGAUCCAUCUAGGUGUUGAGAUUGGUAGGUAAAUCCGCCAGUUGAGCUGAGGUGGGAGCGAGCCGUAAGGCAUAAGUGGUUGAGCCUUGUUGCCAAGAAAAGUCUCUAAGCAUAACUUUCUAGUGCUCGUACCGCAAACCGACACCGGUAGAUGGGUAGAGUAUACCAAGGCGAACGGGAGAACUCUCGUUAAGGAAUUAGGCAACAUGACCUCGUAACUUCGGGAGAAGAGGUGCCCUCUAGGGUGUUAAAGCCCAGGAGGGUCGCAGUGAAAUGGCUCUGGUGACUGGUUAACAAAACCACAGGUCUCUGCUAAGCCGUAAGGCGAUGUAUAGGGGCUGACGCGUGCCCAGUGCCGGAAGGUUAAAGGGAGAGGUUAGCGCAAGCGAAGCUUUGAACUGAAGCCCCGGUGAACGGCGGCCGUAACUAUAACGGUCCUAAGGUAGCGAAAUUCCUUGUCGGGUAAGUUCCGACCCGCACGAACCGCGUAACAAUUAGAGCACUGUCUCGACGAGAGACCCGGUGAAAUUGAAAUGGCUGUGAAGAUGCGGCCUACCCGCAGUAGGACAAAAAGACCCCGUGGAGCUUUGCUGCAGUUUGGCAUUGUAUUUGGAUAUGAUCUGUGUAGGAUAGGUGGGAGGCUUUGAAGCUGGCGCGCUAGCGUCGGUGGAGCCAAUGGUGAAAUACCACCCUGAUCAUGUUUAGAUCCUAACCCCAUUCCGUAAUCCGGAUGGGGGACCGUGCCAGAUGGGCAGUUUGACUGGGGCGGUCGCCUCCUAAAAGGUAACGGAGGCGCCCAAAGGUUCCCUCAGGUGGAAUGGAAACCCACCAUAGAGUGUAAAGGCAUAAGGGAGCUUGACUGUAAGGCCAACGCGCCGAACAGAGACGAAAGUCGGGCUUAGUGAUCCCACAAUACCGAGUGGAAGGGUUGUGGCUUACCGGAUAAAAGCUACCCCGGGGAUAACAGGCUGGUGAGAUCCAAGAGUUCACAUCGACGAUCUCGCUCGU
rnacentral:rRNA from 1 species